rnacentral:tRNA from 1 species
CAGGGAAUAGUUUAAGAAGAAUCUCAGCUUUGGGUGCUGAU